rnacentral:rRNA from 1 species
UACGAAGGGGGCUAGCGUUGUUCGGAUUUACUGGGCGUAAAGCGCACGUAGGCGGAUCGAUCAGUCAGGGGUGAAAUCCCAGAGCUCAACUCUGGAACUGCCUUUGAUACUGUCGAUCUGGAGUAUGGAAGAGGUGAGUGGAAUUCCGAGUGUAGAGGUGAAAUUCGCAGAUAUUCGGAGGAACACCAGUGGCGAAGGCGGCUCACUGGUCCAUUACUGACGCUGAGGUGCGAAAGCGUGGGGAGCAAACAGG